UCGCGGGUGACCGCGAAUCUGAAGGAAGCCCGAGGCAAAAUGCUGGCCUGACGAACAGGAAGCGGAUAGAGGCGGCACAGCGGGGUGAGGUGGCACAAAUCGCCAAAGCCCAAUACUUGCACGGAACGCUGUGACGUAGAUCCGACAGGCAUAAGCAGGAAGGUCGCGCGA
rfam:Paraburkholderia terricola strain LMG 20594 genome assembly, contig: Ga0075244_1062